ACCCAGAAGCAUCUUUCAAUGCGGUCCUCCCUGUUUUCCAUCUGUGUUGCAUGUUACUCUUUGGGGUUCCUCGUUUUCUUUUGGGAGAAGAAGGUGUCUGUGUUGAACCCGGAGCGCAUCCCGGUCCGUAGUGUGAUGCCAUUCCCAGCCAGCCAGCCCCGCGCCCUCGGUGGAGAUGACGGCAGUGUUUGAAGGCGAUGUUUUUCCCUGGGACUGCGUGGCUGGCGAGAUGGUAACGCCGAGGCGGGGAGCAGCUUCACAGCUCGCUGCCCUCACCGCAGCCACCGCCUGAGCAGCGCUGUGCCACAGCCGUGCCACAGCCAGGCGUUCUCCCGUGCCCGUGCCUCGCUGCCCGGCGUGGGGAGCGGCACUCCCGCUCCCGGGGGCUCCUCGGGGACACACCGCCUGCCGGCUUCCCUGCGCCAUCCUCCGGGGCGGCCUGUCCCCCCGUGCACGUGCCUGGGAAAGUGCCAAGAUCACAGUCAAAAGGGUCACCAAUGAAGAUUUGUUCAUGCAGCUAAGCAAACUGUUCAUGGAGAAAGCUCUAAACGAAACAGGGAAUGAAUACCAUGUAACCAGACAGCCAUAAAUCUUCUGCUGCAGACCACUGAUAGGAGUCUGUAGACCACCAGUUUGGGAAACAUCUGCUUUACACUUCUAAAUGGUUCAAGAUUUGUUCCCUCUGAUGACACCACAAAUCUGGGAAUGAAGAACUUCUUAGAGCUGAUUGGAAAUGGCAUUACGGAGCUGAAACUUAACUGGAGGAAAUAUAUCUCCUGAAGAAGAAAAUAUAAUGCACUAUAAGGAUCUGACUUCUGGUGAAAAAUUCAAGCCUAGAGAAAACUUGUCCGCUUUGUUAGGAAGAAUGGGUUGGACAAUUUUCUUCAGUUCCAAAGGAUAUCUGAAUGCCAUGCUGAGCUUAAUCUCUGCAGCAUGCUCUGUGCUUCUCAUCUCUUCCUGAUGCACUGCAUGGUUAUCCUGAAGGGGACGAUAAAGAAACUGGCCACCAAGAUGGUAAUCACUAGUGGAAAUGAAGAAGAUAAAGGCAGUCAAGAAAAGGAAAGCAAAGAAGAAACCAUCUUGGCAAUGCUUGGAAUUAUUGGGACAAUUCUGAACCUCAUUGUGAUCAUUUUUGUGUAUAUUUACACAACGUUGUAAACUAGAAGGCAUGCAAAUAGACCAGAUAAAAUGGCCAUUAAGAGUGACAACAAACAUUGCUGACUAUUGACAAGUUCUUUAAUCAGAAUUGACUCUGUAUUAUAUUAACACAUCAUAAAAGCACUGCCUGCAGGCAGCGAAGACUGAAGCACAAUUAAUUUAACAAGACUUUUUCACACAGUAAUAAGCUUAACUCUUCUGUCCUGCCCUCUCCCUUUUGGUUUGGUUUUCAGUUUGGGGGAGAAUGACUGCAGUUAUGUAAGUUGUAGCUUUGAAGAAAUCCACCAGGGAUAUGUUGUUUUAACACAAUUAAAAAAAAAAAAGAAAGAAAGAAAAAAAAGAAAAGAAAGAAACUGUACACUAUAUAUAAUUAGAAAUGUAUGCUGUAUACCCGCAAAGAUUGAACUCAAAGAUAGCUUCAUAGCACAGAUCACGUGUCUGUUAGGUCAAAUGAUGUUUUUCUCUUGGUUUUUGCUUUUACUUACAUUGAAUCUGACAAGCCUUUUAUUUAGAAUGAACAUAUGGUGCAAUCAUGAAAAAAACAAUUCCAUUGAGCAAGGUCUGCCUAAACCUGAUAAAAUGUUGGGAGAAAUACAUUACAUGGUUAUUUUUCCUUUCUUGUUUGCUUAACAUCUGUGUCUGUUCAUACCAAUGUUUAUAUAUAUAUAUUUUUAAUAAAUGUGCUAUAUUUUUAGCAUGAACCAAACAUUUGGAGACACUUGUAUUCAUGCAGCUAAAUUUUGUUUGAUGAAGUGCCCGUUUUGACAAUGGAUGUUAUUUUUCUCAGCAAUUAUACAGCAGUCUUGUUUGCAGCCCUCUCACUGUGGUCUGAAGCAAGCUCACAUCAUGCUCAUAUGCAUGACUUGAAGUUGGAAUGUCAGCUGAAAAGCAUUGCUGCUUAAUACGGGAAAUAGCACAACAUUGUAAGGUGACCUUUGGAGACUGGUUGCAGAAAGAAGGCUCUACUCAAAAAAAGAAAAAGCAAAUGAAAGGAAUAUUGAGGAGUCUCACAAAAUAUUACAAAAUUCAUAGAAUUUAUGGUUUUCAAAAUCUGGUCACGUUCUCUAAGUACUUAUGCUGAGAGAAGCCAGUAGAGGUUUCUACAGCUGAAAAGAGAAAUUUAGAGAGCCUAUAGUAAGGGGUUGAAGGGAAAUCCAGACUGUAAAUACAGAGUUGUAUUUUAAAUGUGAGGAUCAUUAACUCUUUGCUUUUCUGCCAUGUGCUUUAACUGAGGUUGGUGCAGUGAAAUUCUCUGACUUGUGUUUUUGACAGGAAUGUACAAUGAUGAUGCUCAACAUUUUUCUUCAGAGUUCAGUGCUUAUAAAUAUACAAAGCAUUAAAAUUAUGAGACCUCAAUUCUGCCUCAAGCUGCCUAAGUACAUUGCCCAUUAACUCUGACAUAUCUUCUUAAAAAAAUAGGUCAAUUAAUUGUUUACUGACUUGUAGUUUGGAUUGCAUCCUCAGAUGCACAAGGAGGAUUAGAGUUGAAGUCAGCUGGAGCUGUAAAAUGUUUGAUCCUAGAGUCUCAUCGAUUUUAGUGAUCAGUCAUGUCCCUCUGGAAUCAGUAAUAAGUUCUCCACCAGUUUCAAGGGGCUAGGAAUGGUCUCAAAAAUACAGAAUUUCAUUGCAGGAUAUAAAAGCAAGCUUGGAAAACCCUGAGGGGCACCUCUUAUAAACAGAGGUGUUCAAUCUGUUGUGGUAUCAUACAUUCAAUAACACAGCCAUUAGGAGAAGGGAAAAUGUCAGUAAAUAAGUGGAAAUGAAAUCCAGUAUGAAGACUGAAGGGAAAAAAGAGCAAAAAUAAUCUCAUAUAAUGAAAGCAUGACAUGAUGAGAGAGAUGAAAAAAUGAGCAGAGAUUGAAAACAGGGAAUGGCACAGAAAGACAGUGCCAUGCAUGCCAGCGUGGCUGAGGAAACAUUUUUGUUUCUACAGUGCUGGUAGAGCUGCAGGUCUCGGAGAGGACAAGAAACAAUAGUGGCACCAUUUAGUGUAGCUGAGUGAGGGUGAUCUUGGUUUUGAACUUAUAGUUAUUUAUUGAUAAUUCUAAGGAAAUAGCUCACUCUGAUCAUCCUGAUAGCUAAAAUAUAUUUUCCUCCACUUGGCAUUUUUUCUUCUGUUUAAACCACUGCUGUGCACAGCCUGUGGCAAUGGUGUUGGCGCUCAUGUCCCAGAGCACACCUGCACAUGCUCCAGGCACCUGUCUAUCUCCAGCCUGCCUCCUGCCUGGCAGGAUCCUCUCUGCAGUUAUUCCUCUUGAACCUCUCUUCCUCCUCCAGCAAACACCACAGCAAUCUGCCUGAGGCUUGUACUCAUCUUCUAGAGGGGAAGCCUGGACAGGGCAGUGUCUGAGUCAAGAGAUGAGCUCUCAUGCCAGGUAUUUCUUUGCCUCCCUCUGCAUCAAAUGAUGACCUGUCAUCCUCUUGUGGGCUUGAAGAUGCUUAAUGAUUCAAAUUUCAUUAAGGGCUUCUCUUAAUAUUACAAAUUAAAGCUCUGCAUUGUAAAACAAUACAGAACACCUCACCCACCAAAGUAAAGUAGGAACUUUUGCUGCUCAUCACAGUUGCACUCAUUCAGACAUGGGCUAGAACCUUCACCAAGGCUCGCACUGCAAAGAGCCCAGAUAAACUGAACUGGAGGAUAAAAAGCUUAAGGACUUCAUGUUUACUCUGUUUUAUUUUGCAUAUUAGGCUUGAUGCAGGCAGUGUGUUCAGCUGUCUGCCACACUUCACCAGCAGCAGUCAUGUGCUGUGUGCUUUCGACAUGACUUUUUAUUCCUCUGAAAGAGGAAGAAAGGUUUAUACCAUUCUACAAAAGUUUAACACUUAAUAUUUUAAUUUUACAGGUUUCUGUUCACAGAUAGUUCUAGAAAUAUCUUGGGGCAAGUUCUUAAGUAGAUUCAUUAAGUAUUCAUUUAAAUAAAAAUGAAGAGUUUCCUUCGAGGGCAAUUCCUUUACCUUUUAUUUGGUAUUCAUGAACACUGAUAUGGGAAAAGUAUGUUUUCAAGAAUGACUGUGGAAGAGGAAUAUUUUAUACAAAGAUCUGAAGGUGUGCCUACCUAGGCAGCCGUGGGCAGGCCUGUUCUUGGCUGAGUGCCAGCUGAAGUCAAAUUACCCUCAUGCUUUUCUUAUGUGAGCAGUUUUCAGCAUGCACCUGUACGAAAUAUUCAACAAGGUAACAUAUAUAUCAUGGAUACGUUAUAGUCAGUAACUGCUGUAUAAACAGAUGAAUAAAACUUCUCAUUACAGGUGCUGAAUGGUAAAUCUGCUUUGGCAAGGAAAAAUCCGGUAGUCUCAUUUUUGGCUUGACUUGUAGGUAAUGCAAAUAGUUUCCAAAAAAAAUUUUUUUAAAUAAAAUAUUAGUCCAUUAGUGACAGGAAAUUCCAUGUUUGCAUUUGAGUAGAAGGAAAUUAAUAUCCAAUAUCUUAAUAAGAUAUUAAAGCAUCACCUUUUGCUUCAGUCAACUAAGAAUAUGAUUGUAUUUUUAAAUUAUCCUAUUUAGUUUUUGAUGGUUUGUAUUAUGGGAAUGAAAAAUAUUUUCCCGAGGUCACAUGAAGGUGACAUUCUCCUUGCUAGUGUCUGGUGUGUUGGCUGGUGGGUACCGAAGACUUUUAAGAAGGAAGAAAAUAAAAAUAUUUAAAUCAUGUUAUACAUGCAAUGAAGUGAGGAGAAAGCAGACAUACAGGCUUCUGCCAUCUUCUCUGAUUCCUACAACUGCCACUGAAAACAACAUCUCAGGAACCACAUCUUCAUGCAGGAAUGUACCAUCCUGUGUGAUGGCUGUCAGGGCAGUCCUUUCAGUCAUUUACCUUCUGCUCCUUCCACCUACACCUCUGUAGUAGUGCACAGCUCAUUGUGCCUUAGGAGAGUUUUAACAUGUACUCAGCCUGGCAGCCUCUGGAAGCAGCUGUUUGGGUUUAUUGUGGUGUAAAGGUCUACUAUGGGGCUGAGUUUUAUUAUUUUAAGGACAGCCAGUAAUCACCAUCUUGUUACUGUCUGAUAAUCUAGGAGAUACAUUGCUUGUUGAAUUCCCAGACCUAUCCCUCCCCUGUCCCACAGGUAAAAUUUUGAUUCAAUAGGCAUCCAAAUACAAAAGAAAGCUUCAGUUACAUGAUGACGAAACUUUAGUAUGAAGCUUUUUUUAAGUCCAUGUUUCCUGUAUUUCCAUAUAUUAUACUAAUCUGUAUCCUGGAGCUCACUCCAAAUGCCCCAAGGUCUCAUCUGUGUCAGAAGGUCUCAUUGCUUCUGAGUCAGAGUUAACAUUUCAGUGUGAAUUAUGGCAUACACAGAGCCCAGAGUGGGCAACAGGGAUAAAAAUUAACUGAAUUAAAACUCCAGGGAGGUAACACUGAAGAAAUUACUAAUUAGUUGGAGGCUUGGCUGGAGUACUUUGUUUCUGCAUAGCCAAGAUUUUGUUCCUUGGAAAUUUUCUGGAAUAUGUCUCAUUCAAAGAAAGAACCUCAUUGAAAAUGUUUUAGCAGCAAUUUCCAGCAGCAAUCUUCCAAGAAAAACACUGACCAGGCCUUUGAGUGUCUGGCUUCCUUCCCAAGAGUAGUGUUUGGCAACUCUGCAGCGCUGUACAUAUAUGUAAGCACCUCUUGUUUACAGAGAGGUUUUGUCUUCUUUCGAACAGAAUGCACAGGUUUACAAAGAUUUACAAAUUUAUGGAAUAGUACUUUACACAGUCAACAACAACAAAAGGUGCUGUUCACUUUUAUUUCCAGCAGAUAUGCCAGAUAUGCUGCAGACACCCUGCAGAACCUGUACUGAUUCCAUGCCUGGCUGUGUGUUUUGGAGGCUCCUCCCAAAGGGUCUUAUAGACUCAGCAAAGGUUUUCUUCCCCACCACUGAUCCAAGAGAAACAAAACCUGUUCAGCAUGGAAAUCCCACAUGCAUCCAUAUGCCUUUAUCUACAUAUGAACCAUCUGGUAUCCAAUAAGACUUUCCUUGCCUUAAGCAUUAGGUUUGCUUACUUGCAUUUCACCUGGGGACUCAGAUGCUGAAGGCAAUUUGUAGGGCUGAAAGCCCUUUUUCAAGUGAAACAACUUUACCUAAUGUAGUCAUUACCUGGCGAGGUGCCUGUUCCUCCUGAAACACGCCUGUGCAGUGCCCUGGGCACGGCACACAGCACACCACCCUUCGUGUGUGGUCUCACACUGACAGAGCAUCAUGACAGUGAGGGAGUCGCUCUGGGCUGCAGCUGGCCCGUACAGCAGGGUUUUGUACAAAAACCUAGAUCCCAAGUCAAGCUCUACAGAGUGAAAGGAAAAGGACAUCCUGCCUUGUUCAUAGGAGGUGCUUAGCUAUGCUCACCAGGAUCCUUUCUUCUGCAACCAGUCCAAAUUCAGCUGAAGGUGAUCCUUGCACCACUCUGACUCUCUUGUGGCAGUUGCAGAGCUUCCUUCCACCUGAGUGAAGUAAACAGCUUUGGGCUUCCCUAGUCUCCUAGAAUAGGGGACAAAGUCCUUCUUACGCAGAAGAAAUAGCAGCAGGAGCAUCCGUUUCCUGAUGACAAUGACAACAUCACCUGCCUGGAGCACUGAUGGGAACCCUUUUUCUUCCCAUCAUCCUUCAUAGUCUGGGAAAUGCAAGUUAGUUACCCGGACUCCAGCUUGUCCACAGGCUCAGUCAGUGUUCAGGAAGACUUGUUUUGUGAUGCUGAGACUUUGCUAUGCUCAUAUGGCUCUUAGAGCCAGGUUUUCAGGAACAUAUUAAAGGUCCUGAUAUCUUAAUCAUUAAGGCCUCACCAUAACAAGUCUCAGGCACUGUUAGUCCGGCAUCAAGGCAUUAAGGGACCAGCAUUAGCAAGACACACCAUAUGGAAGCCACGGGUAGCCAGAGAUAGUGCAGAUGGGGCUGGCUGCUUUCCACAAUACUUACCUUCUUGAGGAGCAACGGUAUAAUGGUGGAUUGACAUUGGUGGUGGGUAAAUGUAAUAAAAUGUUUGUGUAGCAGGGCAUGAUUUCUCGCCUUUACUUCCUGCAAACUUAAUGGGAAAGGCUUUAUAAAUAAUUCUGGCUUUGUCAAUUUAAAAUAUGGAUUAAAAUUUACUAUAUAUGUUUUCAAA